GGCGCUUUGGCAGAGUGGCCUAAUGCGAUGCCCUGCUAUGAACUCUUGUAGCACAGUGUAGGCAUUCUCUUCGGAGGCGCAGGUUCGAAUCCUGCAGGCGUCG
rfam:Pseudomassariella vexata strain CBS 129021 BCR38scaffold_3, whole genome shotgun sequence.